AUGGACGGGACACAAAAAAUCAAAAACAAGAAGAGAAAGCCAGAAAUGUCCCCAGCUGGGGAGAGUACAAAGCGUCUUGUGCCUCUUUCCCCAUUCGUGGUGCUGUGUGGUGGCAUCCCAACAGCAGCCUUCAUGCCAGGCCCUCCAGUGCGCGUGCGCGGCGAGGGGCUUCCGGCGCCUGAUCGCCAGGCCCCAACGGCUGGCGCCUGGUGGCGUCGCCUGAGCGUCUCGGCGGCGCGGGCGCUGGCGCAGCUGUGCGGGCCGAGGCGGGGCCGGGCGCUCCUAGCCCUGCUGGCAUCGCUGCUCCUCUCCCGGGUCCUGGCGGCCGACGGAGAAUGCGGCAUCCACGACUUUUGCCUGGCUUCGAAGGUGGUGGGCAGAUGCCGGGCCUCCAUGCGUAGGUGGUGGUACAAUGUCACUGACGGAUCCUGUCAGCUGUUUGUGGAUGGGGCUGUGACGGAAACAGCAAUAACCACCUGAGCAAGGAAGCGUGUCUCAAGAAAUGUGCUGCCGUCACAGAGAACGCCACAGGUGACCUGGCCACCAGCAGGAAUGCAGCAGAUUCCUCUGUCCCAGGUGCUCGCAGAAGGCAGGACUCUGACGACCACUCCAGCGAUAUGUUGGACUAUGAAGAAUACUGCACCGCCAAGGCAGUCACUGGGCCUUGCCGUGCGGCCUUCCCACGCUGGCACUUUGACGUGGAGAGGAACUCCUGCGACAGCCUCAUCUAUGGAGGGUGCCGGGGCAAUAAGAACAGCUACCUCUCUGAGGAGGCGUGCGUGCCCCGCUGCUUCCGCAAGCAGGUGGAUUCUUCCCUGCCGCUUGGCACCAAGGUGGUGGUUCUGGCGGGGCUGUUCCUGAUGGUGCCGAUCCUCUUGAUCUAGGUGGACGCAGAGGAACCAGGAGCGGGCUCUGCGCACCAUCGGGAGCUCAGGAGACGACGAGGAGCACCUGGUGAAGAACACAUAUGUCCUGUGACUGCCCUGUCGCCAAGAGGGCCAGGGAAGGAAGGGUAGACUAUGUGCGUGCGUUUUUAAAAGAGAGCGAUUGACUUAGAUUUGUG